rnacentral:rRNA from 1 species
AUUGACGCUGGCGGCAGGCCUAACACAUGCAAGUCGAACGAGUGGCGGUCGGGUGAGUAAUGUCUGGGAAACUGCCCCAUAGAGGGGGAUAAGUACUGGAAACUGUAGCUCAUACCGCAUACCAUCGGAUGUGCCCAGAUGGGUUUAGCUAGUAGGUGGGUUAAAGGCUCACCUAGGCGACGUUCCCUAGCUGGUCUUAUAGGAUGACCGGAAACAAUGGAACUGAGACACGGUCCAGACUCCUAGUGGAGGAAGCAGUGGGGAAUAGUGAACAAUGGGAGCAAGACCGAUGCAGCCAUGCGGAGUAAGUGAAGAAGGACUUCGGUUAGUAAAGUACUUUCAGAAGGGAGGCGUUAACCGCAGAAGAAGCAACGGCUAACUACGUGCCAGCAGCAGCGGUAAUUC